rnacentral:lncRNA from 1 species
CUUCCACCGUCUUUUCACCAAUACUGAGUUCGCACCUCUUUUAAGACGUGUCACAUGUGCCACCUGAUCUAGAUUAUUGCCAGUGGGAGGGGCCAAGGUGCAUUACCCAUCACUACCGUCCUACCUGCUACAUGUAUAACAGUGUUUACUCUUGUUAUUCUCUCUGUGUCUUUAUUCUGCAUUUCUCUCUCGAAGGGUCUUUGUACUGGAGGCAGAAUUCACGGAAAAUCCAUGCUAUUGAGAGUACCGCAUACCGGCAAUGGCGUCGACGACGAUCAAGUAACAGAAAUGACCAUGUCCAAAGGCUGAGGGACAAUGUGGAGGAACUGCUGGAGGCAUCCCAAGGGCUGGAUGAAGUGGCUAAGAAAAUAACUGACUCGGUGACCGUCAGCCGUGGUUCGUCACCAGUUUGGCCUGAAUUCAAACAGGCAUUCAUCUGUUUGAUUUGCAGAGGUACUGUUUUCAUUCUGCAUGUUUGAAUAUUGCUCAGUGUAACACAGAAGUAAUCUAACGUAGUAUUACAAUUAGUGUUUGAGCAAUUGUUUACUUGUCUUUAAGUGACAAUCAAGGAUUUAGACAAAUGAAAAAACACUUGAAAACAGAAAUGAGUUCAGGCAGUAAUACAGUGAGAGUCGAGAAUCCAGACAUUUUAUAAAAGAAAUAAUGCCUUAAAAAACUAUUAUUUUCAACCAGAACCCUUGGUCUUUUUCAACCUAUAUGAUCUUUUCAAAUUUGAAUGAUCAUCAGUAAGCACACUUUAUUGUGUGUUAACUUCACGGGUGGCAAAAGUAGACUUUCAAUAAUUAAUGGUUGGGUAUGGGAUUUGCGAAACGCCAGCAGAUUUUGAAAAUACACAACUCAAAUGGUCCUACCCCCUCUCCUUCAACGCUGACUCUGACCCAUUCCAAGUACACGAACGCACAAUCAUGCACGAGCGCGAACACAGAUGCGCGAGAGCGAGCCAGGCUAGCUAGGUUAGAGUUUAGUAGUGGUGCAACGGUUCACGGUAGGGGUGGGUAUUGGCAUGAACCUCACGAUACGAUACGUAUCCCGAUACUUGGGUCACGAUACGAUACAUAUCACGAUAUUGCGAUUUAAAGAGUUUAUGUAUUUCAGAUUAUAUUGAUCAGAGGACAAAUUGAGUCAAAACCAUUUCAUUCAUAACAGCUAUUUUUUAUUUCAAUGAAUGAAACAUUAACAAUAUUUGUUUUAUUUCUUACAGCUGAAACACUGAGCUGAAAACUGAAAUAAAGUGCAAAGUAGUUUUUCACAGUAUGAAAUCUGAACUGAAGUUCAAAUUAAAAUAAAAUACCUAUGUGCAUGCAGUAAAAAAGUAUAAGAAAAUAAAGUGCAGAAUAGCCCUUUUGUUCCUCUAAUCAAAAUAAAUAAUAAAGUAAAAAAACAA